UGGGGAAUAUUGGACAAUGGAGGGAACUCUGAUCCAGCAAUUCUGUGUGUGUGAAGAAGGUUUUAGGACUGUAAAACACUUUUAGUAGGGAAGAAAAAAAUGACGGUACCUACAGAAGAAGCAACGGCUAAAUACGUGCCAGCAGCCGCGGUAAUACGUAUGUUGCGAGCGUUAUCCGGAAUUAUUGGGCUUAAAGGGCAUCUAGGCGGUAAGACAAGUUGAAGGUGAAAACCUGUGGCUCAACCAUAGGCUUGCCUACAAAACUGUUGAACUAGAGUACUGGAAAGGUGGGUGGAACUACACGAGUAGAGGUGAAAUUCGUAGAUAUGUGUACGAAUGCCGAUGAUGAAGAUAACUCACUGGACAGAAACUGACGCUGAAGUGCGAAAGCUAGGGGAGCAAACAGG
rnacentral:rRNA from 1 species